rnacentral:lncRNA from 1 species
UUUAACUUUUAACAUUUGUGUAUAUCAUUCCAUUAUGAAGAUGCAUGCACUUCCUGAUAGGCUAGAUGUAGCAUUACUUUAUUAUGGGACUUCCAUGAUAUCAGAGAAAUGUUCUUUUCAUCAAUCUAAUUACUAAAUUUUCAGCAUGUAAAAUAAGGACUAUCCUUAAUAUCAGUACUCUCAAAAUCAUAUUGACGAGAUUAGCUUCAGGAAAAUCAUCCAAAACAUCCCUCUUCAACAAGAUAUUAUCUACAGCAGCCACUGAUUAAAAUUUGUUUGUCUUAAAUAGCCUUCCUCCAGUAAUCGACAUUAAUGGGAGGUUGUAUCUCCUAUGAUCGUUUGCCAUUAAAAUAAGGUAUAUUCUUGCUCUGAUACCAAUUGAUGCAACGGAAAACAACCAACUAACCCAUAAAUUACUAAUUCUUCAAUAAUUUUUCUUGAUCAAACAUCACUUUCUUUUGCCACUAGUACUACGGUCUAGCAGUAUUCCUCUUCACUUGAGAAGUCUUAGGUUUGAUUCCCGCCAGAGAUGAAUUAGAACUAUUUUAUUACUAAAUCAUUGUGAGAUUAAACCCACACCUCCUCUCCUCUUAGUGUAGAUAAUAUUGUUUGUUUAAUCAU